rnacentral:lncRNA from 1 species
AAAGAGGCACAACCAGCUUAAUGAAUCUUGGUGGUACCGAUACGAUGACCUAGACCAUUUUCUUAAUCUCGAUAAGACUGAUCUCAAACUCGGAAAUUGCGAUUCUUCAAAUCUUCUCAAUAGACAGUUGGUCACUGAAUCUUGGUGGCACCAAUGUGAAAGUUGGUGGUACCGAGAUGGUAGGGUUUGGCAUAGGUUCUAUCAAGUUGAAAAUCAAUAGGGCCGAG